UGUGUGUGUGUGUGUGUGUGUGUGUGUGUGUGUAAACACCACUCUGUCAUGAUCUCAUGUGUUUUCUUAGAGGGAGGUUGGUUACCUGAUAGUGAUAUAGAAGUCAGUUGUGACUGCCAACCCCAAGGUUACUGAAGCAAAGCAGUUACUAAAGCAGUUCUGUCCUCACUGCUCGGGCCCAGUUAGAGACGGGAGGGAUGCAGCAGAGGAUUUUAGGGGCUUUGUUGGAUUCCCCCUGGAAUCUUAAAUGUCUAAGUUGCGUCCUUAUUGCAGGGCUGAUGACUUACCAUUUACAGCAUAUAUUUUCUAAAUAUUCUUUAGUCUGACUCUAAUGCCAUGUUAUUUUUGACCUCUUGCAGACCAGUUUUUGAUCGCGUGCAUCACAUGCCAGUAGGUUAAAAGGAGCAAAGUCGAGACGUCUUCCCUCAGCGUCUACAUAGCGUAACAUGAGAUGCGAUGGACACCGAUCAGGAAACCAACUGAAGCGUCCUCCUCACGUGGGACAAACUCUGUGGGGAAGGCGGUUGCAAAGCAAAGAAGACGGAGGACGAGGACAGACAGGGAGUCCGCCGGCUGCUGUGAGUGUUUCUCUGGCAGUGUCUUAGCUGGUUGUUGUGAGGAGUGUGAACGAAGCAAUCAGCAAGUAUACUGCCGCAGAAACUCUUUACAUUGUGAGCCCCCCACCCUCGUCUCCCCCCCUGCACACCACACGACUCCUCCUCCUCCGCUGCUGCUGCUGCCCAUCUCUCAGCUCCCCCACCCACCUCCCUCAGAGAGCCACAGGCAGGGGGAAAAGGAGAAGAGUGUGGUAUGUAUUUCCUGCUUCGGCAGUAACUCCGUUCACUAAAAAGGCGCACAAAGAGGGUACACAACAUAUUUACUGCAUAGUUUGCACCACACAAAGGGAGGCAUCAAAGCAACGGUGGGCUACAAAUUAUAGUUACACAAUAAACAGGAAACUUCUUUUGUCAUUCAUUUAUCUUUGAUUAUUUAUUUCAAACUUGUCACAUACUGUAUCAUGAACACAGCCAGAAGCAGACUUACCAUUAGGCAGAGGUAGACAAUCACCUAAGGCCCCCGAGCUACCAAGGGCCCCAUUCAUGAGUAGUUGUGCUCCUGUCCAUUUGACACAAAAAAGUUCAUAAGGAAUUAUUACAGUAGACACAGGCUGAUUGGUACAAUAAAGCAAUGAAGCACCACCAUCUGUUAUCUAAUAAAUGCCAGAGUGUAGUUAUUGAAAUAAUCAGUACUACAAGAGUAAAUGUGAAUCAGUAGUGUGUUGUGUUCGUUGUUACAAUCUACUUUCAGUUACUCAUGUAACUGCCUACUUUUGUUGUGAUGUUAAGCAACCGUCACCAGCGGCAGCACUGCCUGACCUUUAAGGCCUGCACUAGGAGCGGACACAUUGACGGUGUACCCUCCAGACGAAAAACAUCCCUAGUGCUACUACAUACUGUAUGCCCUGUGGUUCUCUGUGAGCACAUGCUAACAGGUGAUUCAUUUUUAAAAUUCUAAUAAAAAAAACAAUAAACAUU